GAGGGAGAGAGAGGGAGAGAGAGAGGGAGAGAGAGAGAGAGAGAGAGAGAGAGAGAGAGAGAGAGGGAGAGAGAGAGAGAGAGAGAGAGAGAGGGAGAGAGAGAGAGAGAGGGAGAGAGAGAGAGAGAGAGAGAGAGGGAGAGAGAGAGAGAGAGAGAGAGAGACAUCACCUAACUGCCCUAACCAAAAAACCACACUUUGCUAGUUUUUGCUCCCAGUCACAGCUCAAGCUGAAAGUUAAAUGAUCCAGAGAAGGAAGAGAGAGAGAGAUCAUGCUCCAGCUAGUGCCCAGGAAGAGAGAGCCAGCACUUCCUCUCCAUCAGCUUAUAAAGCCUGUUUUUGUCACCCCUCCUGGGGCUCUCUGAUUGGACAUCUGGGGCCCGAGUCUUGACUUCUGGACAUAUCACCGAUCAUAUGAGAACUUCUGCCAGCCUGUCAGGAUACCAUGUAACCACACAUGCACUUGAGCCAACCUCUUCCAGGAAGCCAGAGGCUCAUGCCCUCUGUCGUCCUGCCAUAAUAUGAAUGGGCAGGUGAGGAAGUUCUGUGACCCAGAAAGGAGAAGACACCUCUCUCAUCUUUAUCCUCUCCUUCUUAGUUUUGGUCCAGGAUACCCAAGAUACAAUUACUUCCCUUACCUUCUCCCACUUCCCUGCUCAGGAGACUGAGUUGUCUGUUUCUUGAGGGUAAAGAAUUCCUUGCUUAGGGGGAAGAGGAAAGAAGAAACAAUGAAUAUGGAGAAUAUGGGGAAACAUACGAAGAUAUAGAACCUCAAAAACAACACAUACCAUCACUACAACAAUGGAAAUGUGAGCAAUAAGAAAACCUCCUGAAUUAGAAUGCUGGGAAAUCAUCAUGAUCAAAGUUGGCUCCAAAGAAAAGAGAAGAAAAACUUCCCUCCUUUCUUUGCAGAGGUGAAGCACAGUAAGUGUGGAAUAUUGCAUAUCUUGUCAGACUCAAUAAAUUGGUUAGAUUUCCUGAACUGAUUUACCUCUCUUUUCUUUUCCAUCUUUCUUUUUUAAUUUUUCUUUCUCCUCCUCCUUCUUUCUUCUUCAAAUAAGGGACACUCUCUGGUGGAGGGAGAGGAGAAGGAUGUAUUUGGAAAUUAAGAUGAUACAAAAUCAAAAGAUUACAAAAGUAUUUUUUAAAAGUUUGUUGAUUGAGGCACUGGAAUGGUAUUGAAGAUAUCAUCAAGAAUGUGAAAAAGAGAUAAAGGAACUAGUCAUAUAGGGAGAUAGAAGAACUAGAGAUGGAGAGACAGCCUAAUCCCUGAACUGGUAUCUGUGAAAUAAACAAUCUUAAUCUUUAAAAAAAAUUCCAUGGACUCUUUUUUUGAAAGCCUAUGGAACCUGUCUCAGAAUAAUGUUUUUAAAUGCAUAAAAUAAAACAUAAGAUUAUAUGGAAAAUCAAUAUAUUGAAAUAAAUAUAUCAGAUAUUUGAGUGUAUAUAAACCACAAUGUUCAUGGACUCCAACGUUCAUGGAACUUCUGAUUAGAGAAAUUCACAAGCUGGCAUUAACAAAGAUUUAAAAUAUCAUAAAGGAAAUAAAUAGCUGCCCUAAACAUGAUUUGUACAGUACAGUACAUUGAUUACUUUUCUGCUGCCUCCUUUUGGGAAGACUAGAGAUAAGCCAAACCUAUGCUCCUGUAUGUGGUAUAUGGGGUAUUCAAGAAAGACUAGGGCUUAUUGAGCUCUUUUUAGGGCUGCUCAUCCUCCUUUGGUGUCUAUCUGCCAUCCAGCAGAUGUGGCUUCAAGAAGCUGUAGCAUAUAUAGCCAUACCCUAGUAAAACCAUUUCGGCAGAUGAGCUAAACCAGGUUGAAGGUAAUAGACAGGUCUCAAACCUAUUGGUGAGUUAUUGUCUACCCCAAGCUGCACAGACUUCCCCUGGAAGAAUGGAUAGAUGAGAACAAUUCAUUCUAAUGGUCAUGAAGGCAACUGAAGCAGACACUGUGUAAUGCUUAGAACUUGGUCAAAUAUUGAAGAUGCCAAGGUGGUCCACUGCAUCCUGAGUUGUCCUGAGUGUCUUGCUAAUGAACUUUCUCAUGAAGCCAGCACAUAAAUCAAUCAUAGAGGCUCAUACAAUAAGUACAAGUACACCAAGCUUCAAUAUGCCUCAGUGACUUGAUUUCAUAAACCAGUAACUUGGCAGUGGGAAACUCACUAGUAAGAACCCUGAGAAAUGACCAGUCUAAAUUUGAAUUGUGUUCCCAGUACCCCUCAGCCUCAAUGCUAUGAUUGUUGAAUUGUCUUUUAAGAACUGCUGAUUAAUUAUUCCAUUUUAUUAAAAGCAAUAAGUAAUUUUCCUUGAUUGUUUGUAAUCCCAAAACUUCUCACAGGGUAAUGAGAAAAUUAAGCCAUCUGUGAUGAAAUCAUUUAUCUUGUGUGCAACCUUUAUUCUGUCUUUAAGCACAAUACAAAAAUAUAGAAUGUUAAUCAAGUGAUUUGUUAAACGUUAAUGUAUCACUUUUCCAAUUAUCUCUCUUUGAACAUGUGUGUUAGGUAAUGCAAUUUGCCUGCCAAGAAAAUAGGUAUAAAAAUAAAAAUCAAGCCUGGGAAUGGCAGAGCAGCUGUCAAGAUGCAAAGCAGUCCCAUGGCUGUAAUGAUUAAGCUGUCUCCCGUUUGUUAUUUAUUUUGACUGAUCAUUCGCCACCAGUCAGGAACCCUGGAGUCGCGAGUGAGGCUGGACCCUGACUGUGGCAAGAUAAUAAGGAAAAAGACUUGUACAAAAAUAUUUAGAGCCACACUCUUUGUGGUGGCAAAAAAUUAGAAAAGGAGGGGGGAUGCCCUUCAAUUGGGGAAUGGCUGAACAAAUUGUGGUAUAUGUUGGUAAUGGAAUACUAUUGUGCUCAAAGGAAUAAUGAACUGGAAAAAUUCCAUGUGAACUGAAAGACCUCCAGGAAUUGAUGCAGAGUGAAAGGAACAAAACCAGGAGAACAUUGUACACAGAGACUGAUAUACUGUGGUACAAUCGAAUGUAAUGGACUUCUCUACUAGCAGCAAUGCAAUGAGCCAGGACAAUUCUGGGGAACUUAAGAGAAAGAACACUGUCCACAUCCAGAGAAAGAACUGUGGGAGCAGAAAUGCAGAAGAAAAACAUAUGAUUGAUCACAUAGUUCAAUGGGAAUGGGGAUAUUAUUGGGGAUUUGACUUUAAAUUAUCAUUCCAUUGCAAAUAUGAAUAAUAUGGAAAUAGGUUUGGAACUAUGAUACACGUGCAACCCAGUGGAAUUGCUUCUCAACUACAGGAGGGAAGAGGGAAGGGGAAGAUCAUGAAUCAUGUAACUGUAGAAAAACAUUCAAAAUGAAUAAAUUUUAAAAAAUAAAAGAAAAAGAAAUAAGCAUUAUCAAGCAAAACAAAUCAGUAGUAUACUGUCCAAAAACAAAUGGCCCUUUUUGCUUUUUGACUCUAAGUGGCCUUCUUAGAUGAAAAUUCCUGAGCCUGUUUUUUUGUUGUUGUUUUUUCUUAAACCCUUACCUUUUGUCUUAGAAUUGAUCACUUCCAAGACAGAUCACUUAGAAUUGUGUCACUUCCAAGACAGAAGAGUGGUAAGGGCUAGACAAGUGGGGUUAGGUGACUUGCCCAGGGUCACACAGCUAGGAAAUAUCUGAGGCCAGAUUUGAAGCCAGCACUUCCCAUCACUAAGUCUGGAAUCUCUACCCACAAUGCAAUCUAGCUUUUCCAUUGAUGCUCUUAUAUAUUUGUAGGAGAGUGUACAUCAAGUUUGUGGGGGAAUGUUUUAUAAUUACUCUUUUGUUAUGCUAUUUGAGUAAAUACUUUUGAAAAGAGUUAGUUGAGUCUAUUGGGAAGCACUUAAGUCAGGGCUGGUGAGCUAUAGAAGUAAGAGUUAAGCCCUUUAGAGUUUCUCCCAGUCAUACUUUGGGGGACCCAGCCUUCCAGGGCAGAGGGAGAAGUCCAGAGGAUUGUUUCAGAAGAAUUUAUAAAAUUUAUAGGUAAGAGUAAUACAGGAAAAGACCUACCCUAUGAAUAUCAUUGAGAAAUAUUGGUAAUAGUAACUCAGAUUUCUAAAGUGCUUUAAGAUUUCUAAGGCAUUUUCUUGUCAACAACCCAGUGACAGCAAUAUAUCUAUAUUAUUCUCCCCAUUUUAUAGAUGAGGAAACAGGCUUAGAAAGAUGAAAUGAAUUACAUC